UACAGAGGGUGCGAGCGUUAAUCGGAAUUACUGGGCGUAAAGCGUGCGUAGACGGUUAUUUAAGUCGGGUGUGAAAGCCCCGGGCUCAACCUGGGAAUUGCAUUCGAGACUGAAUAGCUAGGGUACGGUAGAGGGAAGUGGAAUUUCCGGUGUAGCGGUGAAAUGCGUAGAUAUCUGGAGGAACACCGGUGGCGAAGGCGGUAUCCUGGACCGACACUGACGCUGAGGAGCGAAAGCCAGGGGAGCAAACGGG
rnacentral:rRNA from 1 species